GGAGUAUGGGCCGUGUCUCAGUCCCAUUGUGGCUGAUCAUCCUCUCAAACCAGCUACUGAUCGUCGCCUUGGUGGUCCAUUACACCCCCAACUAGCUAAUCAGAUGCAGACUCAUCUCCAAGCACCGGAGUUUUCAAGAAUAACAUUUCAGUUACGCUCAUAUGGGGUAUUAAUAGUCGUUUCCAACUGCUAUCCCCCGCUUGAAGGCAGAUUCUCUACAUAUUACUCACCCGUCCGCCACUUUCCACUUACCGAAGUAAGUUUCUCGUUCGACUUGCAUGUAUGAAGCACGCCGCCAGCG
rnacentral:rRNA from 1 species